CCUACGGGUGGCAGCAGUGGGGAAUAUUGCACAAUGGGCGCAAGCCUGAUGCAGCCAUGCCGCGUGUAUGAAGAAGGCCCUCGGGUUGUAAAGUACUUUCAGCGGGGAGGUAGGUGCUGUGGCUAAUAACCGCAGCAAUUGACGUUACCCGCAGAAGAAGCACCGGCUAACGCCGUGCCAGCAGCCGCGGUAAUACGGAGGGUGCAAGCGUGAAUCGGAAUUACUGGGCGUAAAGCGCACGCAGGCGGUAUGUUAAGUCAGAUGUGAAAUCCCCGGGCUCCACCUGGGAACUGCAGCUGAGACUGGCAGGCUUGAGUCUCGUAGAGGGGGGUAGAAUUCCAGGUGUAGCGGUGAAAUGCGUAGAGAUCUGGAGGAAUACCGGUGGCGAAGGCGGCCCCCUGGACGAAGACUGACGCUCAGGUGCGAAAGCGUGGGGAGCAAACAGGAUUAGAUACCCCUGUAGUC
rnacentral:rRNA from 1 species